UUUACACCAUGUAAGUUCAAUUUUUACUAUUUCUUAGUAAUUUUUAUGUUUUGGUGACUUUUACAAUUAGGUCCAAUCAUCUAAUUCAUUAGUUUUUGAUUUGAUGGGUGAAAUUUGAAGUUACCCUGGCUGAGUAAGGGUAGUAUAUGAUGAAUUAUUAUGAAAUUGAAGUUCUAAUUUCAUAUUAAGGUUGUUUUAUUAAGUCAUUUUGAUAGAAAAUGGUAUUUAGGACCUGAUUGUGAAAAAGUUGUGAAUUAGAUGUUGGUGUUGAAAUUGAGAAUAUCAAAGGUUUUGAAAUAAUUUAUAAUGAUAAAAUAAAGUGUUAAUUGAGAAAAAAUUAGUUCAGUUGAUGGGUGAAUUGAAUAGGGACUAAAUUAUAAAAACCGUAAAUUUUAGGGUAAAAGUGUAAUUUCGAAAUUUGAACAGCAUAAAUUGUGAAGUGAAGUAGAAAUCAAAUAAAUGCUAAUGAGUAGAAAUAAUUUAUAUUAUAGAUCAAGAGAAACGAGAUUCAAGUCGUGAUCGAGGGAAAAAUAAAGUUUACGAGGAAUAGGCUCAAUUGCUAAUAUUUUAUAUCGAGGUAAGUUCAUAUGAUUUUUAAUAAUGCAAUGUGUAAUUUAAUGUUUUGAAAUGAAAAUUUCAUGAAUGAUAUAGUAUAUUAUUGUAUAUAAAAUGUCAUUAAACUGUGAUAAUUGUAAAAUGAUAUUUGAAUAAAAGUACAAAUUAAAUGGAACAACGGACUUGAGUACUUUCAUUCAGUGGCUAAGACGAAUUGACAGAAAAGACCAUGGUUGGACCAUGGCAGCAUGUGAAAUGUGAUUUCCGUAUAAGACCAUAGCUGGGCUAUGGCUUCGGAGAAAUGUGAUUUGUGCUUCCGUAUAAGACCAUAUCCGGGAUAUGGCAUCGGUGUGAUAUGUGCUACUGUAUAAGACCAUAUCUGGGAUAUGGCAUCAGUGUGAUAUGUGAUCCGUAUAAGACCAUGGCUGGGCUAUGGCCUCGGUAUGUGAUAUGUGACUAUGCAAUACCAUAAUUUUACUAUGGCAUUGUGAUAAUGAGGUACUCAAUUCCGUAGUUGUUCCCUAAUUUGAUUAUGAAUGAAAAUGUAAAAUGGCCCGAAAAGAUUAAGAAUUGGUGAAUACUAUGAAAAUGACACGAUUUGGAAUAAGUUCUUGAUACUUGAUGACAUUGAGAUUAUGGAUCUAUGCUUAUGAAGCAUAAUUAUGUAUUCUUACCAUGAUGGAUGAAAUGAUAUUGUAUGGAUUUAGUGAAUAAUAGUGGUGAAUGAAUAAAUAUGGCCUUGGCAGUUUUGGAUUACUGCAGUAGUGUAACUUUUGAAAUUCACCAUAAAUAAUGGAAAUUGAGUUAAGGGCUAAAUAAAAUAUGAGAUUAAAGCCUGAUGAGUCUAGUUUCAUAUAGAGGAAACGGUGCAUGCAAUUGGAUUUUAUGUUAUAAGAUAUUUAAAUUGUUGUGAGACAGAGUUUGAAUGACUUCGAGAUCCCCUGUUCUGAUUUUAGAAAAUCAUUAGAAAUUGUACAAUUGUGUUGUUUUAUCUUAAAAGCAUGUUGGUAAUUGCUUAUUAAUUUCAUAUGGACUUACUAAGCAUUUAUGCUUACUUCCUCCUUUUCAUUCCUUAUAGUUUUGACAAGCUAGCUCGGAAAUUGGGAAUGGUCGGAGGCCACUCACACUAUCCGUAUACCAUCUUGGCAUAAUGGCUUGUAUAUUUUGAGUAUGGCAUGUAUAGCAUUAUAAUCAUUUUGUAUAUAUGGUCUUAUGAUAUGGUUAUUGAGUGGUAUGGAAAUGCUUGGUAAUGAUUAGCCAUUGGAAUGGCUA
rnacentral:lncRNA from 1 species